CCCCCCUUGCCCCCCUCCCCCUCCUCCUCUUGGAGUGGGCUCGGGAAGCCUUCUCUGGGGAGGGUGCUGGCUCCGCACCAGCCGUGGAUUACGGGGCUCGCGGCUCCGGGCAGCGGAAGUCUCUGCUCCGCAGUGGGCCGAGCGGCGGGCCGCGGCUCUCCGUGGGGCUCGCAAAGGCCGCUGGAGGGCAGGCCGACCGUCAGCGCUUCCUCGCUGCUGGUUACUGUUCGUUUUCGUUAAUAGGGACUGAGUCGCUCUUCAUACACGCCUCCGAAAUAGGUAUUUCUGUUGUGACCGCGAAUUGCUCUUACCAAGUAGCUUAUGGGCCCUGACUGAAGAGACGAGACAGCACGGAGAAGAGAGAGCUGUAGGGAGAGACUUUGUACUCAAGAGGCUGACCUGAGUAAUAUGACACAACUUCUGUUACCCCAGCUACCGUGAUAGUGGGCUUCUCCUGUAACAGUACAACUGUUGAUCACUAAUAGAUCUGCGAACAUCAGAGUUGGAGAGAUGGGGAGAAAGAAUUUCGAUUUGAUCGUUAAGAGGCGGUGAAUGCUUUCAUCCUUUUGGAUUCCUCUUUCACAAUACAGCUGUUGCCAGCUGUCACCGAAGGUGUCCUUGAACAGUCUUCUGGAGUCCCUUGGCAUGGUGAUCCAGACUUUUUCCAUGUGGAUCCUGAACUGCCCAUGUCUUGUGCCCCAGGAGCUGGUAAUUCAACAGCUGGUACAAUGGAUUUUGAAUCCGUUUGAUUGAUGUGAUGUCUUGCAGAUAGUAAUUUAUGAAGGGGACAGCUCUUCAAGUGAUAACAGCUUUGUGUAGAGUCCUGCUCUGUGUGUAGAAGCUUGGGUUGUGCUAUGGUAUAUGGAACUGUGACACAGAAUGCCACCGAACAAGAUGCUGAACAACUUGGGUGAUGCCCAUUGAAAAGACGUUACCAGCAUAAUUUGGUAGCUCUUGAUUCUUUGCAGGGUGGAGGGAUGUACCACCACAGCUGUCUGUUACUUAUAGAAUCAUGCAAUUUAAGGUCAUGGGCUCCAACUUCCCCUGCAAUGAGCAUGGACAUCUUCAGCUAGAUCAGGUUUCUUAGACCUCUGUCCAACCUUGAAUGUUUCCAGGGAUGAGGCAUCCACAGCUUCUUUGGGCAGUCUGUGCCAGUAUUUCACCAUCCUCGCUGUAAAAAAUUUCUUCCUUAUCUAGUCUGGAUCUAUACUCUUUUCGUUUAAAAACAUCACCCCUUCUAUCACUACAGAUCCUACUAAAAUGUAUGUCCCCAUCUUUCCUAAAGGCCCCCUAUACAUACUGAAAGGCCACAGUAAUGGCUGCCUGGAGGCUUCUCUUCUCCAGGAUAAGCAACCCCAACUCUUUCAGCCUUUCUUCAUGGAACAGGUGUGUUCCAGCCCUCCAUUUUUGUGGCUUCCUCUAGACACUUCUGCAGGUCCAUGUCCUGGACCGGCCACCAGCUGGAUGCAGCACCACUCUCUGGGCCCGGCCAUCCAGCCAGAACCGUGCUCUGUGCGCACUGAAUACUUUUAUUGGGGCUUAGAGCUUGUCUCUGUAUUUCUUUGAAUAUGUUUUUGCAGUCAGAUACUAUCGCCGACAAUCCUUGAACCUUAACCUGUCACUAUUUUAUAUUAAUAAAGAGUCUUAUUCUAUAAA